rnacentral:rRNA from 1 species
AACGGACGCUGGCGGCAGGCUUAACACAUGCAAGUCGAACGCACCGCAAGGUGAGUGGCAGACGGGUGAGUAACGCGUGGGAACGUACCCUUUGGUUCGGAACAGCUCCGGGAAACUGGAAUUAAUACCGGAUAAGCCCUGCGGGGGAAAGAUUUAUCGCCAAAGGAUCGGCUCGCGUUGGAUUAGCUAGUUGGUGGGGUAAUGGCCUACCAAGGCGACGAUCCAUAGCUGGUCUGAGAGGAUGAUCAGCCACCCUGGGACUGAGACACGGCCCAGACUCCUACGGGAGGCAGCGGUGGGGAAGAUUGGACAAUGGGCGAAAGCCUGAUCCAGCCAUGCCGCGUGAGUGAUGAAGGCCUUAGGGUUGUAAAGCUCUUUCAGUGGGGAAGAUAAUGACGGUACCCACAGAAGAAGCCCCGGCUAACUUCGUGCCAGCCGCCGCCGUAACAC